rnacentral:rRNA from 1 species
CCUACGGGUGGCAGCAGUGGGGAAUAUUGCACAAUGGGGGGAACCCUGAUGCAGCGACGCCGCGUGAGUGAAGAAGUAUUUCGGUAUGUAAAGCUCUAUCAGCAGGGAAGAAAAUGACGGUACCUGACUAAGAAGCCCCGGCUAACUACGUGCCAGCAGCCGCGGUAAUACGUAGGGGGCAAGCGUUAUCCGGAUUUACUGGGUGUAAAGGGAGCGUAGACGGUUGCGCAAGUCUGAAGUGAAAUGCCGGGGCUUAACCCCGGGACUGCUUUGGAAACUGUGCAGCUAGAGUGCAGGAGAGGUAAGCGGAAUUCCUAGUGUAGCGGUGAAAUGCGUAGAUAUCACGAAGAACCCCGAUUGCGAAGGCAGCUUACUGGACUGUGACUGACGUUGAGGCUCGAAAGUGUGGGUAUCAAACAGGAUUAGAUACCCUAGUAGUC